rnacentral:sRNA from 1 species
UAUUUCUUAAUAAAUUUGGAAUUAUACAGUCCAAAAAGAUAUUUUGAAGUCUAUAAAUAUAUUUUGGAUUGCUCAUAAAUUUAUUAAAAAACAUGAAAAUAGCUCACUACCUCCGGCGACCACUACCAAUCACGAACACCAUCACCAACAAAAAAACCCCACCAACCAUCAACAACCAACACAAGUACAUCAUAUGGAUAAUAUGGAUAUUCUAACAAUUACAGGGUGCAGGAAGCAAUUGCCCCUUAUGGACCAGAGGCAUCAAGAACCCCAUUGAAGCCCACAGGAGAAAGCCAUGUAGUGUAAUCUCAAACUGAAGUCUUGGACUCAUCUUAACCAAUCACAGAAGAAAAAGAGUUAGCUUCAGAGACAGAACUCACAUUUAAUAAACAAGGGAUUUAACUUGCAAGAUUGGAAAUUAGGCAAGGGGGAAAAAUGAACAGAUUAUGCUGCUAACUUUCUUGAAUAAAAUUUCAGAAUAUGGAAUUUGAUGAAAUACCCUACCUGAAUGUGGUUAUUAUCUUUGGUUCUUGAAGGGCUGCUUGUAAUUUUCUGGUGCUCUUGGGAUGAACCAACAAGGGGAAACAUGAUGAAUACAAGAGAAGCAUGAAAGAAGAAAGAAAUGAGCUUUUGCUGAACUCCCAUUCUUCCAAGUGCAAACUCAAACUCAAUCUCAAUCUCAGUCUCCAAUUCCAGAAGAUAAAAGGAAGCGAAAGAACUAUAACAUUCUAAGCAAAAACUGAAUGUGAUUUCCCAUGAACUGAAAGAGCUUAUCCUCUCUUUUUUUGAAGUGUCUUCUGCUAUGUGUAUGUGAGAUAGGAUUCUGAGCAGAGAGCAGUCUUAUCUAGACAGUAGAACUAAAAAAGUUGCAACCAAUGCAGGAAAAAUGUGAGAUCAACAUGAGGUCAGAUAAAGCUCAUCAGAAGAGAAGGAGUUUAAACUUUAACCUUCCUUUUAAGUAUACAUUUCCUUUCAGAUUAAACUCACAUUUUCUUAAGGUUGUUGCAUGGAAAAAUUGAUUGUUUGUACUAAGUUCGGAAGAUCUUGUAAAUAAUAAAUGGAACUUGAAAUGAGGCAUUAAAUGAGAUUUCAAACUUGUGGGGUUCACUUGGACAGGCUUUUUGAGAAUGUGGACUUGCAGAGCUAAAGUUUGUCAGAUUUCAAUGUGAGGGGUUAAAAUUUAUACAUGUAUAUACUGAGAGAC